AGAAAUGGAGCUACCAAAACGGCAACCCUAAUCCUUCUGAAAACCUUCCAGGGACUGCCAUCUUCUCCAAGGUGAAAUCUGAACUCAAGGUCUGGCAGAGGAGAACUUGCACUUGCUUAGUUUGCAGCUCCUCUGCUGCCACAGGCCUUACCCACUCUCUGUUCCAGUAGCCAGGCCACUUGCCUGUUACCACGGCUCAAACCUCCCUGCUUUGCCAGUCCAUUCCUUCUGCCUGGAAGUGCUCUUCCUUCACAAGCCUCCUACUCUGGGAAGCUUUGCAGAACCCCUUCCAAUAGCCAGCACAUCCGGGUCCUCCCCGCUCUGUAUUCUCCAAUACCUGUGUCGAUCUCAGUGAUACUCACACGUGGUGCUCUAACUGCCUGCCUAGUGUCUCAGUGCUCUGAGACUAUUAACUCCUUAGAGGCAAAUGUGGGAUCCCCCUCAUCCUGGAUUUCCAGCUCCACCCAUGGGUCUGGCAGAGUUGGAGCCUGAUCUGUCAAAGUUGGAAUGCUGUAGCAAUGGAGAGAGGGAGCUCUUCACUAUUGGAGGUGACCACGUAGAUGCCAGAUGCCCAUGAGGUGGUAAGUUGGGCUGGGUGGCUUUUAAGAUUGCAUGCCUCUUUAAUAAACCUGAGUGGAAUUUAUGAGGUCCUGGUAUUCAAAUAAUCCCUUCUUUAACCCCAUGCAUCUGGGCUACAAGUCAGUUGCCAGCUCUCGUGCCCAUUAAGUUUACUAUCUACUAUGCAAAGUAGUACUUCCUUUUAUUUGAUCUAAAAUUAACUCUUGCAAACGUUAGGUUAAAUGGGAGGUUGGGAUAGUUCUGUUUUUCUGAGUUUUGCUGAUUAAGAACAUAAUUCCGUGCUAUCAAGCACUGUCAGAUCCCCUUUCAACCUGCUCUUUCUUGAUUGAGGAAACCUAACUGUGUUAAAUCCAUCUUUAUGCCAAUGCUUCAUGAGAUCGGUGACUUGCGUAGUUCAUCUCUGUCCUUCUCCCACCUUCCCAGAUCCACUCCAUGUUUCUUGAAAGUGCAUGAAUAGAACCGCCAGGUUUUCCUGGAGCCUACACAUUGCUUCCAUAUGAACGUGGGAUAAUGUCUUUUCUGUUGGGGGCUUCUAUGCUCUUCCUGAUAAAACCCAACCUUCAUAUGGGCAUCUGAGCUCAAGCAGCGACUGUAACUCAGAUUUAUCUGAGCAUAUCUGCAUAUCUCAGUAUCUGCCUGGUGACUGGAAGCAGUGUGAAGUCUCCCUUGUAUGAUGAGGAAAGCCAUACUUAAAACAAUUGCUAAAAAGAAGUCCACACAAGCAUGCUGCGUGGUACUUAGUAUAGAGGUUGGACUCCCCACGUGUUUCCGGAACUGAAAUGAAAUAAACUUUCCUGCCUUUUCUGACUUGUGACAUGCUGGAGUCUAUCACUUUCAAAAACAGAGAUUGGGUUCUAUUUUACCCAAGAGAACUGCUUUGUAUUUGCCCAAACUGAGGCUUAGUUGUCAUCUUCCUCUGAAAUCUUGAGGUCCCUCAGAUUUGAAGUUAGGGAACUCCUAUGCGAAUGCUUUCUCUAUGACUUGUUAGCUCCAUAGCCUUGGCUCAUUAACACCUCAGAGUCCAUUUCCUCAACUGUAGCAUCAAGAUAAUAAAAAUAUUUUAACUGGAAACAGGCUUUGAACCCAAAAUGACUCAUGAUUCAAAUCCUGUCUCCAUCAAUUUCUAGCUUUGUGUUCAUGGACAAAUUGCUUAACCUUUCUCAGGUUCCUAAUAAGCAGGAAGCAAAAAUAACAUCCUUCUCCCAGAGUCCUUGUGGUAAUUCAAUGAGAUAACUGUGCACAGCAUCCGGUAUAGUCCCAGGUCACACAUAGUGUGGCCUCAACAACAGCUGCUUACCCUCUUCCCCAUGUCAUGGAGCCAUUCCGGUGCUUUGUAUCUUUGAGAGAAGUGGGUAGAUAUUAGGAGUUACUGUUUGUCAUGAUCUGGCAGCAACCCUCUAUAGCUGAAAUAGAGGGGAUUUGGAGUGCAACCGGGACCAAGUGCUGCAGACUUUGGAAAGACACUCUGCCCUCCCCCCAUGCCCAGGCUUGUGUCCCUUGUCUCCACUGGGGAUGACUGCCUCCUUUCUUCCAGAUUACCUCACAGGCAUGCCUUGAGCAUCAGAGGACAUGCUGAUGGUAAAACCAUUAAUAUGACCUGAAUGAGGUGCCAUGAUGGCGAGACAUGUGCAAUGACAUUUGUAAAAAUUGGGGUUUCAUAACUGCACUUUUUCCAUGGCUUUGAGAAAAUGUGAAGAGCCAAGUUAGCGUCUUACUGAGUGCAAGACUAUGGAUUUCUGACUUCUGCAGAUCUUUAUAUUAAUAUCCUCUAUUCAAAAGGUUGCAACAAAUACCACCAUACUGUUUCCAUGAUCUUUGUCAAAAACGAUACAGUACCAUAUCGACAGAUUCUACAUCCAAGCUGCUCUUUGAAGUAAAACUCCAAUCACAGAUCUCUUAAAUCUCUGAAAAUUGAAAUCUUUGUAUUUCAAUAGUCCCUUACUUAGACCCUGCUUCUACUCUCUUAAAGAAUAUUGGUUUGGUAAAAUCCUCUCAUUAUUUCUCCCAUGAUGGUUUACAUUGUUAUUUUCCAUGAUCAUACUUUUUCUUAUGGAUUCUAGAUGCGGCAGUGAGAUUUGGUUCCCUAUGAUUCCCAAGUACCCUCCGUAUAGAUGGCAAUUUCAUUGGCUAUGUGACAUUACCUCUGUUUCAGUGACCAUUUUUAGUGACAGGUUGUAUGUUCUGGACAAUGACUCCACAAUUUUACCCAUGACUUACUCCAGAAAUCUGGGGUAAAUGCCAUCUGGUCCAGGUGGCUUAUUUAUUUAAUUUGCCCAUUCCAUUUAGUUGCAGGUGGAGGGAGGGCAGUACACAGCAUGGAGCCGACUUGAAAGGCAAGUGAUUUGAACUCUGGCCCUAAAUCUGCUACUUGCUUGCUAGAUGAACCUGAGUUGGUCAUUUCUGUACAGACACAGGCUCUGUGUCUCCACUGAGACUCGAAGGAAUGGGAUGAAGUGAUCUCCAUUGUCCCGCCUAUUUUUUUUUUUCAGUUUGUGCUACAAAAAUAUGUUGUCACUGAUAGUUUUUCCUGGCAAGGUCCUUGGUGGGCAAGGCUGAAGGUGACUGAAGCAUCUGAUAGCACAUCUGCUGUUCCUUGCCAGUACUCAGAGGCUCCCACUCAGGUGGACUACAGGGAGAGCGUCCCUGAUUAAACACGCUCUGUGGAACUCAGCAACGAACGCAGCCACUUAGACUAGACAAGAACUCAGAGGAGAUGAUGGGAAAUGAUUCCUAUUGAUUUCCUAUUAGCCAAAUAAAUUGCAAAAAUACCCGUAAAUGAAAUUUGGAGUAAAAAUAAAAAGGGAGAAGAGACGGCCUUGCUUGGUUCACUGUGCUGACCUUGGCGCUGUCUCUUCAUGCAGAAGAAAGGGACUUGAACUAGACAGACUGCUAAGUCCUAUCCGAUGGCACUCACUUGCUGGUGACCUUGGUCAUGACUCUUGCCCAACUGGGGCCUUUAUGUCCUUUACCCGUUCAUGAGCGUUGUGGGGGGCAGGUUUCUUCAAGUGUGAUGAGUAUGUGAAUCAGCUGGAGAUCUCGUCAAAUCGCAGAUUCUGAUUCGGGAAGGCUGGCGCAAGGCUGCUGUUCUAUUGGACUGCUGCUUCUGUUGGUUCUUCCCUCACAGAGAAGCCGGAGCUUGGGUGCUGUGAGCACUGCGAGCCGCAGGCAGUGCGCACUCUAAGAUUCAUCCAAAUUGGAUACGAUUAGCAUCAGAGAACUCAUGGCCUCAGUGAACCUGCAGGUGAGAUGGCGUUCACUCUGCCUUUUCUCUACACACUUAUGUCAGGAAAGCUAAAGCAGGUCCUUGGGGUCUGGCAUGGACUUUUUACAGAGUUACAGAUUUUUAAAACUUAAGUUUCCUAAGAGUGAUCUAGGAUUAAUCUUUUAUUCAUUCACCUAUGCCACCAUCUUUCAUUCACUUGGGUUGGUUAUGCAAUGUAGAGAAAGAGCAUAAAUUGGUUAUCCGAAGAUCCAUGUUCAAGUUCUGCUACCAUUUUUAGGGCUUUUAGCUGCUGAGCAGAAUAGGGCUCUCUGAUCUCUAAAAUUAGGCUCGGGGUGGGCCUAAUGUGCUCUUUGGGCACAGAGGCGAUUUCUGCGAAGUGCAAGACACUGAGCUGGCAGUGUGAGAAAGAUACGUAAGUCACAGACAGCCUGCAUUCUUGGGAAACAUACACUUGACUGGCUUCCUGCUGAGUCCAGCGCUAUGGGCCACAGAGAAUCCCUUAACAGGAAUUCAGUCUAGGCCACUGACAUGCCGAGUGACUUGAAUCACUCUCUUUCCCCCAUUGGCUGUCAGUUUUCUGUCUCAUAAAGGAAUUAUUAUGAUUGGUGAUUUCCAAGGCUUGGACAUUUUAUGGAAAUGGACUAGAAUCAGGACAAAUUUGAAAUAUGUUAAAAUAUUCAUGACGAGGGGCCAGUGUUGUGGCACUGGUUCAGGUGCAGCUGUGACACUGCCAUCCCCUAUCAGAGAGUGCCAGUUCCAGUCUCAGCCGCUCCUCUUCUAAUUCAGUUUCCUGCCAGUGCACCUGGAAAGGCAGCAGAAGCUGGCCCAAGCACUUAGGCCUCCGCCACCCAUUUAGGAAAUCUGUCUCUUGGUUUUUGCCUGGCCUAGACCUGGCUCUUGCAGUCAUUUGGAAAGUGAACCAAUGGAUGGAAAAUCUCUUUCUCUCUGUUCCUCUGCCUUUCAAAUAAAUAAUUUUUUUAAAAAAAGAGAUAUCUUCGUGAUCCAUUAUGUCUUAUGUAUUGGUUUCUGUUUGUGCAGCAAGGACACUUUGGACAGCACUGGCUUCCCAGGGCAGCAGUUCCCUGAUCUGUCAGUGCUGGCCUUUGGGUGAACCCUCUGCUUCCUGUCUUGGCUCUGCUGUGUCAGGAGGCAGGGAGGGAAUCUCUUCUACACGACUAGGGAUCCACUAGUGAGUCGUGAACAAAUAUGAAGGCAUUAAAUAUUUGCCAUGCCUUUGGGUCACGGUUUUUAACUGUUUCUCAAACUGUGUUAUGAGUCGUAAGGGGCGAGGCAGAGAGCGAGCAGUGGGAGCUUGGGGAAUCUAGAGGGCAGGUCUAGUGCCAGCUCUGCUAGGCAUUGGCCAAGGGAUGUUCAUUUGUUCAAGAAGCACUUAUGGAGCAACUGCUGCACUCCACUGCGUUAGAUAUUUUAAAAAAAAUCAGAUGAGCAAGAAAUAGUUUACUGGGUUGCAUGCUUCUUGAAAGUAAGUUCUGGUUUCUCCAGUGUCCGACCAGGACUCUGCCCAAAAGGGCAGUUAGUGGGGUCUGUGGGCAGGUAAUAUCUCUCCCCAGGACUCAGUGUUUUCCUCUGCAAAAUGGACUUGGAGGAUUGGAUUAAAUGAUCUUGCAGAUCCCUUCCUACGCAGGUGUUUUGUUCUAGUGUUACCUGGCGUCCUGCAGCGAGAAAGGUUUGCAUACAGGGAGAGAGCAAAGGUCACAGAACAAUCUGCAGCAGAGGUGAAAUGAAACCGCAAAGCCUCCAGGGAGUACAUGAACCAGUAAAUCCCCUCACCAGAGCUGGCUGUGAGAGGAAGCCUGGUCCAGAAAUGCAAAUAGCCUGCCCAGGCCCAGCAGGAACAAUAGUACUGGCACUGGGUGUUGGGGGGCUCCUAGGGGGCCCUUCAGGCAGGGAUGAGGUUCAUCUGGGGACACACUGGACAGGCCGCAGUUGUCCCACUGGCCCGGAGUGAAGGCAGUGUGUUGUAGCUACUCACACCCUGAGUGGGCACCAAGAUCUCUGGGCUCUUGUCACUGUCCCCUCCCCCUGCUUCACCUGUGCCACAAGAACUCUCUGGGGAUAUGGACACCUUCCCUGCACUCAUCAUGAUGACUGAGUGUGAGAAUGCAUAUGAAAGGUCUUCAUAAACUGUAAAGUGCUUUCUAAGUGGAAAUUGGACUGAAUAUUCGUGAAGGAGGGAGAUAGAAAGGGGCACCUUCAAGAACAAAGAGGUGUCACCCAAGCCGAUAGCUGUGUGCCCAGCACAGAAGGAAAUGUGUCAUAAAAAGGAACUCACAUAAGCCUCGUGACAAAUGGUAGGGGCUACUGUGAUUCCCCUUCCACAAAAGGAAACGGGAUUCAGGACUUUGAAGGAACUCCAUCGAGGUCACUCCGUAGUCAGUGGCAAAGCUGGGAGUCCCACCACGUCAUCUGACCAUAGAGUCUGUGCCCUUAAUCGAUCCGCUCUUUGGCCUCCCUGCAUGGGAACAAAUGUUCCUGAAUCCCGUUUAAUUCCUGCCAGUAAGCAUGGCCUAAGUACUGGAACAGGCACGUGGGGCGUGAUGAUGAAGAUUGUGGCCCUGAGCUCAAGGAGGUUAAGAAACGAAGGAAAAACUCCAAGAAAGAAGGCAGAGAUACUGCCGAGAGAGAGGCUGGUUCUGGAACAGUGUAAGAAAGGUGGAGACGGCAGGGAGGCUGUCUGGGAGCCUCUGCUGCAUUGCACAGAGGAGAAACCACAGCAUGGUUCCUGUGGAGCCGAAACCGUGGCUGAAGUGAUGGGCUGCAGCCCAGAGGUAGAACCUGGGAAGGGGUUUGGGCAGAUGGGGAGCACAUCGAAGUGGAGUUUUCAGAGACUUAAAGUAAGAGAAGAGAAGAAAGGCCACACUGCUACCAGGAUGCUGAAGGUGAAGACCCAUCAGUUCACUAAGUUUUCAAGUUGGAGCCUCAACUGGAAGGAGGGGGAUGAAAUUUCUGAGAUGUGGUAUGUCAUUAAUCCUCAAAAUAAUGAUGAACGGAGCGGUAGUCCCAGCACACGGGGUUGGAGGGAACCUCGGGGGUGACCCCACCACAUGCCUGCCUGUUGAGGUGGUGGCUCAGCUCCUGAGAGCUUCUAUUGUCAUGGGGAACUCUUGACCCAGUGAAGAAGCCCAUGAUCCCUGGAUAACUCCUAAUGCUCCACUAAGCUUUGGUAUGCUUUCUUUUCGUUGUCCCUGAUUUAAAUACAAGUGUUCAAUUCUUGUUUUAUGCAAAUCUAAGAACAUGUGUUUCUCCGUAUCACCACACUGGUAACCUCCACGGGCUCCAAACCACUGUUCCUAAUGGUCAACAAGGGAACUUUGUAGGCAUCAGAAGGUCUUGGAUUGGAGAGACGGAAGGUUUGGAGUCCAGACAAGCACCCACAGGAAGGAGAGACUUAGCUGGGUUAGAAGGAAGUCUAGCCAGGUGGGUGGCACCUGCUGUUCAGCAGUAGGAGAUGUGAAGCUGCUACUGUAACUGUGCUCUGACCAGCUGAGCCCAAGAAUAGGGCUUCGGUAAUAACUUUGUUAGUCAAAAAGGAAAGGAAACAAAAGAAAGAAAGAAGGAAGGAGUAACCAAAAUCAGCUCUCAUUCCUAUUAAACAUCCUUUACUUCUUUUAAACGGAUAAUUGGGGAACCUCCCAAAUCACUCCUACAACUGAUACCCAGGUGGAGGAGACAUGAGCUCCUUUGUCUCUGAGGAGCUCACACACUGAGAGGAGAGGUAAAGGGGUAAGAAACACAUAUUGAGUUUGAGAAAGACUCCAAAUCCGGGCAGCUCAGUCUUCUCAGAGCGUGCAGACUCUAGGUUUAGCCCUGGGGAGCAGCUGACAUCAGAGAGGUAUCUGAACCUGUGAACUUUUGGCUUAAAAGUAAGAGUUCAGUUCUCCCCAAGUUCUUGCUGGUGCUGCAGGGUUGGCCCAGGCCGGCUGCUGCACCCUGCAUACAACCGGAAGCCCCUAGUGGGGUUUGCAUCUAUCUGGCCAAGGUGCCUUCCCCAACGCCACCUCCAGAUGUUCCGUGGGGGUUUGAGGUGGGGAGGAGGAGUUAACCGGGUUUAGUGUCUCUUGGCAGGGCUGAGUUUGUGCACCCACAUGCACGAGAGAGCUGGGGGUGGGAGUGUCCCCGCCUGCCUCUGUACAUGUGGGCCGACAGCUACUGGUCGCCUUAGCCAGAGGGAAAAUGCGCUGUAAUCACAAGAUAGAGGUUUCCCCAUCUUUGCUUUGAGAAAGUUCGGAAGCCUUUUCUUUCUCAGCAAACUGCCACGCUUUUCCCCACAUCAGUAAAAAUUCAAUGACUUUUACAAAUCUGCCUGCCUGCUUUUUAAUAAGCAGGGCUGUGCAUUGAUGGUACAUGUGCAAGGUCUGACCUUUUCAUAGGAAAAAACAUUCAUAACCAAAGCCUAUAUAUAGAAGCUGCAGACUGGAGCAGAUAAAGAUGUCGGUCAUAUGACUUUUGUGUGUGUGAGGCAUAGCGCUAAAGGGGUGCAGCAGACAACUCAAAACUCAUGAAAUACAGCCCCUGGUCUGGGUCUUCCUAGUAUUUACUGAACCCUUAAAUACUGGUUUUGUUAUCAACUGGCAAUCAUAAUGAUCCCUUCUCUCUGAACAUGGGAUUUGUUUCCCCACAAGGAAAAUUUACUUACUUUAAAUGUGCAUUUCACUAUUUAGUUUAUUCUUUAAAAUUUUUGUAUUUACUUAUUUAUUUUCAUUUUAUUUGAAAGGCAGAGAGAGACAGAAAAGAGGCAGAGAAACAGAUGGGCAGAGAGAGAUCUUCUAUCUGCUGGUUCAUUCCCCAAAUAUGUACAACAGCCAAGCCUGGACCAGAUGGAAGUAAGGAGCCCAGAAGUCAAACCGGGUGUCCCAUGUUGGUGACAAGGCCCCAAGCAAAGUACUUGGGCCUGUAAUUGUUGCCUCUCAGAGUGUGCAUUAGCAGGAAGCUGGAUCAGAAGCAGAGUAGUCAGGACUCAAACUAAGUGCUCUCAUAGGCAAUGUCCCAAUCAGCAUUCUCAUUGCUGUGCUGCACAUUACCCCUCCAGUUAACUCUUAACUAUUCCUGUUAAAGCAAAGAACUGGUACUAUCAAAAUUUCCUCAGUGAAGCCGGUGCCGCGGCUCACUAGGCUAAUCCUCAGCCUAGCGGCAUCGGCACACCGGGUUCUAGUCCCGGUUGGGGCGCCGGAUUCUGUCCCGGUUGCCCCUCUUCCAGGCCAGCUCUCUGCUGUGGCCCGGGAGUGCAGUGGAGGAUGGCCCAGGUGCUUGGGCCCUGCACCCCAUGGGAGACCAGGAAAAGCACCUGGCUCCUGGCUCCUGCCAUCGGAUCAGCGCGGUGUGCCGGCCGCGGCGGCCAUUGGAGGGUGAACCAACGGCAAAGGAAGACCUUUCUCUCUGUCUCUCUCUCUCACUGUAUACUCUGCCUGUCAAAAAAAAAAAAAUAAAAAAAUAAAAAAAUAAAAAAAAUUUCCUCAGUGAACAACUUUCAAAAAUGGUAUAAGUAAUCAAAAAUAUGUUUUGCGACACGUAGAGGAAUACAAUCCCCCAGGCUCCUCAUUCCCUAAGUGAACAGAAACCAAAUUCUGCAGUGUUGAAGGCUAACGAGAUCUGGAAGCUGCCUGCUUUCUGACACUGUCUUCAGCACCCUGUUCCACCCUGUCACACCCUUGUUCCACCAGAUCUUACAGUGUCUGUGCCUCUGUGCUCCUUUGUCUUUGCUUCCCUCACUCUCUCUUCUCGGGGUGCCCUAAUUCUGGGUAUUUCUGAACUUCCAAGUCUAUUCUGAAAUGAAGACUCAAACACAAUGCCCUCCAUAAACCCUCCCUUCUCCACCUUUCCAACCACGUUGUUUCUUAUGAGCAGACCAUAGUUUGCUCUGGGUUGUCUAACUGGUGUCCAUGUCCCAUUUCCCAGUCGGCUAGACCAUGAUCUGUUUGAGGGCAGGAAAAAAGUCAUGUUUGAGCCACUUUGUACUCUCAUGUGGCAUACUAAUGGAGACUGUGUACCUUUGGAGAUAUGUAUGAAGUGCAAGUCUCCAAAACUGUUUAUUAAGUUCAUGAAUUUAGCUCUGGAAGGCACUACAGUGAUUUGUUGGGAAUUUAUUAUGUAUAGCUACUGUGCUACAAAGUACCUCAUUCAAUCACCAUGAAUACAUCCACAAGAUUAUCAUUGCCACCUUCAACAGCUCAAAGAACUAAAGCUCAAAGAAAUUCAAAACCUCACUCAAUGUCACAUAAUGAACAGAACAGGAGGCCAGGAUUCAAUCCCAGAUCUAUCUGGCCUGAGGGUGUUCCAAUUUAUAAACACUGAUGGUUACAUUUUCUGGGAUUUUCAUAACUGGUUGGAAUAAAAAUGAAAUCAUAUAACAUUCAAUAAAACAAAUUAUGUGAGAAACCAACAUAAUAAAUAAACAAUACUCAAUACUUCCUGUUAACUUUAUAACAUUUUAUUACUAAAAACGCUCUUGAGGUUAUUUAUGUAUCUUAUAGCUGUAUAUCAGAGAGAGUAUUUAAUGGUGUGGUGCUAUCUUUUCCAAAUUCCACAUUUAGCAAUGAUGUGUUGGUAGCUUGAAACUGACCAUGGUAGGAGUAUUUACGUGAAAAUUAUGAGCCAAGUUAUGAGAGCUGGUUGUUGUUAAUAUUUAUUUAUGAGCGCACCACUGGCCUGGCCCCAAAGCCAGACCAUACUUCAGUGAAUUUUAGGAUUUGGGCCCAAGACACACACACAUUUCUUCCAUUUCAGAUUUAAACUUCACCCAGAAGGACCCAAUUUUGUACCAGCACAGAUAAACUUCCUACUAAUAGAAAAUUGACCUUUAAAAGGUUCUUUUGGGCUUCAGGGUCAGAAUGAAAUUAAUUCCUAGUAGUUAUUUUAUGCCUAUGCUGUACCCAUAUAUGAUGAACUUCUACCACAAGUCUAAUUAUACUCUUCAUCAUGUCCUAUACACAGAAAUAUAUGAUGUAAGUCUGCUAGUGGAAAAUUCCAAAUGUGAAUAUAAAUGCAUUUCUCCAAAUUUACAUUGAUACAGUAACCCACUGUUUUAUCUACCUGUCCUCAGAACCUGUGCUUCACAUGCAUAACUUCCACCCUGUAUCUUCUGUGUGGUCUCAGGAAAUGAGACUUAAUUUUUGAAUGAGGUGAUAGUAUCAGUACUAGUUCUUAAAUUCAAAGCAGGAGAGUUCACAUUGCUAGGGCCUCAGUUUUCUCAUCUGUCUAAUGGGGAUUUUGACCCAGAUUUCCUUUAUGCUGGCUCUAUCUCCAAAGGAAACCACAUAUCACUUCACUUCUUGGGGACUUUGCUUCUGUAUCUGUAAACAAUGGGCAGGUGAGCCAGACUGUUUCUGAAACCCUUUACUGCUCUCCCAGCUUACAGAUCUACCAGAAAAGCCAUGUUUUCAACGCAAUGUGUCAUUCCUAUUACAUAGCACCAUACUCCAACUCCAGAAAAUUGCCAGGUAACAUGCUGAGCACUGUGAAUACUGAUGCUUACAGAGGACUUGGAGCAUCUUUCUAGUUAGGAGCUCCAACCAUUGCAAGGCCAGCUUUCUGUAGACCUCAAAGUAGAGGGAACAGCUUGGUCCCACAUUGGUCAGGGGAGCAUCUGUACUUUUUUUUUUGUAGACAACCAGGAGGACUAAAGAAGGAAUGGUGAACCAUGCAUGCAGGAUUCUAAUUUGAUAUCCUAGUUGGGUCUACAGUGUGGACAGGAAGACAUAUGACAGAUGAUAUUUCCAACUGGACUGGGAAGACAGUGGAUGAUGGUAGUAACUAAGGUAAAUGUUAUUGCAGGAGCCUUUGGAGCCAUUCUCAUAGUAGACAGAGUGUAGAAGCUCAGAUAUGACAUCUCUCUCCUUACCCUUGACUUACUGCUUGACCCUGAACUUAGAGCUCACUUGCAUAUUUAGGGAAAAAUCAGAAAUUGUUCUUAACUCCUCAUUUACAUCCUCAGCCUCAUCAUCAUCCACUCAACCAUUUGUGACUUCCAGGUUGGAAAGCACCAUGACAUCCAUACCCAGAAAAUGAUUCUGGAAAACAGGUAUGAUCAUUACUUGCAUUUUUCAGAGGAAGAAUUGGAGGUUCCAAAAUGGAAUUGAAGUAACUCGUUCAAGAUCACCAAGGUUUAGAGCCAAAAUUAGAACUGAGCUCACUAUUUCGACUCUAACAUUGCUGCAGUUUUCCUGCCCCAAAGACUUUUACCAGAUGAGGUCAAGACUGCUAGCUGAGAUGGGAAGUUUCAGAGCUGCUACUCACAUGAGAGCUUACAGAAGCACUCUAGAGAAAGAAGGAAUGGACAAACCUAUCCUCAAUGAAUCCUAGAAGUGGAAGAGAUCCUACACAUUCUCUGACCCAGUCCGUUCAAUUUUCAGAAAGGAGAAAUAGUAUCAUACGUCCAAAAUCAUGCCAGAGCCAAAACUACUUUUGAUACUGCCUUCACCUGUUACACAUUGCCGUCUGCUCAGGCACUAUUUACUUUUAUCCACUUUCCCCCAGCAGCAACACUAAGGAAUCAUAACUACUUAAAUAUCCUUUACUGAUGUGAGCAUCAGUCAAGAUCCCUUCUUCCCACAUGGGAGUACUUGGGUCUGAGUUCCAGCUCUGCUCCCAAUUCCAGCUUCCUGAUACUGCACAUGCUGGAAGGUGGCAAUGGGGGUUCAAGUAGUUGGCUUCCUGCCACCCAUGUGGGAGACUUGGACUGGGUUCCCAGAUCCUGGCUUUGGCAUGGCCAGCCCCCUGUCAUUGUGGGCAUUUGGGGAGUGGAUCAGUGCAUGGGGGUACAUUCUCUCUCUGCCUCUCAAAUAAAUACAUAAAGAAGACCCUUGACCAUCACUGUAAGGACAAUGUAACAUUUUCCACCAGCAUGGGCAUGGACUAAAGAACCCUGGGUGGAGGAAGGCCUGCAAGCUUGACUCUCAGCUGUCGUUUUGCAUUUAAUCUACUCCAUGCCAGCAAUUGGAUUUAUUGCUGGUGAGAACAGUGACUCAUGCUCUUCUGACGCCAACUAACUAAUUUAUCCUGCCAUGUCUUUGUAGGCACAAACGUUUAGUAUGUGAUCAAAAAUAGAGACCCCCUGUCAUCCAGUACCUUAGGAUUGGUCUUGUCCAAGUCCAAGGAUUUACACAAACCCAAGGCAAACUUUUAUCCCAAAUAUAACCAGAUAAGAUUUAUUUUAGGAAUCACUGAUUUAUAGCCCAGUCAUGAAGGCUUGCAAAAUAUAAUAGGGAAAGAAGUCUCAUUUGGGAUUUACCUGUUGGGUCCAUUCCCACUUCUUUUAUUAAAUUGAUCUGUUACGCUUAGUGACUCAUUUUCUCUCUCUGUGCCACAUUAGCCACAUCUGCGAAAUGAGAAGGCUAAAGUAGGUGACCUUUGGGAAUUAUCUAUUUUGAUCGACUCCUUACAAGACAACGCCUUUAUCAGAGACAUCUUGCUACAUCUCAGUUUUUCUGUAUGGUCUUGCUAUUCUUUAGAGAUGGGAUUUGGCAUGCAUCCUCGUAGGGUUCUUCUGUAUUUCUAAAGGGAUAGAGAACUCCUUGAAGGCUGAGAUAUAUAUCAACUUAACUGGCAUGAACUUAAUUUUAGGAUUGGCAAUGGAGAGUACAUUAAACUUCAAAAUUUGACAUAACUUUAAGCUUUUUCUCUCUCUCAUUACGAUAUCCCUUUUAAAGCCUUUUUUCCAGGCUAGAUGGACAGGCCAUACGCUGUAACUAUCAAGAGGUGAAGAUGAAUCUAGGGAAAAAGACCACAGCACUGAAGCAAGUGGGACAUUUUAAAAGUCACAGGUAAUUGUGUCGAAAUUGACCUAGCAGAGAACUUGGGUAUGAAAUAUGGGUCUGUUCAUUCAUUUAUUCUAUUGAUAUUUCCUAAGUGUUACCCCAGGCCAGCACUGUUACGCUGGGGGAAACACAGAUGAACUCCACACUACCUUGGAGUCUUGCAGUGGUGAUUUGACAGACAAACGUCUUAUUGUCACUUAAGGCAGAGGCCUCAGUGCCGGGAGAAAGUUCUGGGCUGUUCAGAGGAAAGUGAGACUCCGUCUCACUGAAGAUGCUUCUGAAGGAAGCUGCAUCUUGAGUUUUGAGCAUGGCCAAUCAGACAGGACUUCUAUUCAGUGUUAAUGAUGAAUAGACUGGGGGAUAUACUUCUCUAUGAUUCCAUGUUUUCAGCUGUAAAAUGGAAUAAUGAGAGUAUCAGGCUUAUGGACUUUUUGUGAGUAACAUGUGAGUUCAGAUGACUAAAGCUUUGAGAAAGUUCCUAGGACAUUGUAAGUGCUUGAAAACAUUAGCUGUUACUUUUAUGCUAACUUCUGAGUAAAUGACCCAAAAGUUCCCUGCAAUCACAAAAGAAUGACCCAUGGAGGAAGCCCUGUUCUCGCAGAGUUCUUCUACAUGGUACAGCAAAGCUGCUUGUGUCUUCACAGGCACUCAUGCUGGGUAGUUCACGAACAGUGUCCUUGCUCUCGCCUUCUCCCCCACCGUCACACCCAUGCACACACACACACACAGACACGCACCCAGUUUCUCCUGUAGACGCUGGAUUGUUUAUCAAAAGCCCCAGGUGUAGGAGUGUUUCAAAUGAUUUUUGGAAACGAAAAUGAUUUCAGAGAUGUCAGGCAUGAAGAAUGUGGGUGUAAAGUACAAACAAUAGGCAAGUUCAUAUCGAAAUCUUUACAUUUAGAAGAGAUAGGUUUUCCUUUUUGUUGUUUUUUUUUUUUUUUUCCAAAAGCAUCAUCAUUUAUGUGGUUUGAGAAUGAUCUUUCCUCUGGAAAUUAGACAGCACAACACAGAACACAGAGAUGCAGCUGAUUAAGUGUGAGGGCCCUGUGUCUUUUGAGCACAGCUCCGUCCUCCUUCAGGCAUGGAAGCCUACAAGAAUGAAUUUGCUUUGAGUCAUAUAUUUUACAUAAACCAAAGAGGUUACCCCUAAGAUGAACUGUCUGGCUUAUUGUUCCCCACCCCCAUGGCUUCCCACAUACCAUCACAGGAAGGCGUUAGCAGUUUCAGGACCCAAACUUUCUCUCAACAAUUUCUUUACUUAAACCAAACAGGGUUGCUACAUUUAAAAAUAAUUAUCACUGCGCUGGGUGUAAUGAGUAGUUAUGGGCCUGUUGUCCUUUUGAAUGUAAAGAUAAUGAGACAAUAUUUCUCGCACAGAUGGAAAACAGUGGGGGAAGGUUUGAUCUCUUGGACCCACUUGUUUUUUUGUCUGUCUGUUCGGUUUGGAAAUAAGGACAACCAGUCACCAAAGUUUCGCCAGGACCAGGGUUCCCAGAAAUGAUCAAGUUUACCCCAAAUCUAUUUCACUUUAUAGGCAGAAAAACAGAGGCCCAGAGACAGAAAGGUCACACACGGGUUAGAACCCAGAACUUCUGAAUCACAGUCCAGGAUUCCAACAAUAGAACAAAAGAUUAAAACUCUAACCCAUAAUCAUGGUCUCAGAAACACCAGGGUACUCACAAAAUAAUCAAAGUAUAAUGACAUGAUGCAAUAAUACCUGACCCGAAAGGACUGUUAGGGGGACAAAUAAGACAAUGGAUUUAGGUAAAAUGUGCAGGCAGGGACUACAUGGCUGAUGAAGCCUGCAGGACAUGCGCCUCCUCAAGUCAAGGGAAAAGUGAGAAGGAUUUUCUUCUUGCAAACAAAGUAGAAUUCCUAAGGCCAUUCUCAGUGACUGCUUAUUUGCCUUCUUCUAGCCUGACAUUUCCAUUGCAUAAUUCGGUAGUAAGACGAUUCAUGUCAUUCUGGAGCUAAAGAUAAUUUGUCUCAGUCUGUCAUACAGCUAUCAACCAAGAACAAGAGGUGGCUGAGGUCAGCAGUAGAAACACUACAUUUUUUUUCUGUAACGUUUGUUGAUCUAAACCCAGGGCAGGAAGUCUUAACUCUGAGUGGAGGAUCCCCAAUUAAAGAAGCAAGUGGUCUCUCUGGCAACACAAAGACUUGCCCUUAGAGCAAGGGAGAUUGGAAGAGCAGGCUGGAGGUGAGGUCAGGAGGAAGCAAUACUUGGCGUAAGAAGUCCACCUGCUGCUCAUGGGACUCGUCAGAUAAGGAUUUAAGAUGAGCAGGGUCACCUGUCAGCUUGGGGAAGAAACACUUCAUGCAUGUGGAAACGGGACCAGGCUUGUUUGAAGCCAUGCAGGGGAGGAAGCUGGCAAGGGACAGAGUCUAGUUAAGAACUUUCGAAUGAUCUUGGCUGGUAAAACACGGAGCCAGGCUGGUCCUUGAGAGAGUGAGCAGCUCAUUGCAGAAGGUAUGCUACAGGGGCUGGGGAAGUGGUGUGAACGCAGAAGCGUCAAGUGAGAGGGUUUGCAGAUGGAGAAAAUGCCUCCUUUGGUUUGCCACACCACAGAGUCUCUCUGAGCAUCUGAAAUUCCUCUCCUAAGAGGAAGGAUGCUGGAAGAAUCACGGGAGACAAAAUGACAAGAGGCAGAAUGAAAAACUCACUUCUCUUCUCCCAUGGUAGGAGAGGGAUACAAUUCUGCACUCUGGGAAAUGAACGGGCAGUGAAUUUCCAAGUCACUCAAAGGUGUCGUCUCUAGUCCUGUGUUCAGACAACAUGUGGAAGGCCUUACUUUUAGAUAGAUGGUGGGGAUUUUGCAAAAGCAAAAGCUUCUGUGGCAGAAGUGAUGUGAUCCAGAUUGUGUGGCUGGAAUCACUCAAAGCUAGGUGGUAUCAGGCUUGGAAGACCACGCUGCGUGACUAGCACAUGCAGCACUGGGACCUGGCUGAAAGGUGGGGAUCUGUGCUGCUGGAGUGGCUGGAACAUUGCUCGUGGCGUUUGUGCUGCUGCCCCGAGACACUGAUGGGAUCCUUGGGGAAGGCCUGUUUAUCGAAGUGGGCUCCGUGGAGUUAUGAUUCUCCGCAAUUCAGGCAGUAGGGCCAAAUCAGAGAAGUGCCACAUAGUUAUAGCCUUGCUCUCCUGUAGAUUAAAUGUGCAUGUGACGGCCCUCAGCAGGACUCAGGCACAGCGAAAUGCUUCACUUCAAAUAGUCCUGCUUUCCUCUAACUUACUUGUUCACGGAAACCAUUUUUACCUAACACUGCUACCUCCCUGGGAACUCCUGGUGCACGAUGAGUGUCCUGAGCAGCACUGAUGGAUGCAGCACACAGACCCGCAGAAGGUUAGAACUGAGAGCAGCAGGCUCCCUUGGGCUUGGCUCUUCUGCUCUAGCAUCCCUUCCCCAGCCCCUGUAGAACACCUUCCGUGAUGCAGUGCUCACCCUCUCCAGGGGCAGCCCAGCUCCACGUUAGACCAGCCCAGGCAAGAAAGAAAGCAGGGGCGUGGGAGGGCUGUUCCAAAGUCAUGGCCAGCAGCCCUUGACUCUGACUUGAAAGCACCUGAAAUUUUAAAUAGCAACAAAUAACUACGAAAUGUUGAACCACAAUUUAGGAUGUAGCAUGUGCUAUGGAAGGUUGGAUGGCAGUUACAAGAACACCGGACUUGAAAUCAGUGGAGCUGGGGGCUCACUGGAGGUCUCUAGAUGGCCUUUUCACUAGUACUGCUUGGGUUCGGCUUCCACUUUGAUUCCAGUUGGGUCUUCUCUUUUCUAAUAUGGGGAGGCAAAUGCUUGUGUGACUGAUCUCACAAGUUCUGGUAAGAAUCAAGAGAAAGGAUGUGAAAGCAGUUUAUAAAUGUGAGGAGCCUUCUCCCCCCAGUAGGAUGCCAUAGCCUCCACUGGGGGGAUGUGUCUCUUUUCUGUUUGUGAGACUGGUUGGCAUGAAUCUGUCCGCAGGUUCCAUCUUUCAACCACAUCCGUGGGUGAGUGAGGUGAUCUGGUACCCGAGUAUGGAACGCGCCAUUGCCCCUGGAAUUACAGGCUAAAUCCAUGACCUUACCCAGGCACACACAGCUGAGCUGAGCAGCAAGGAAAGGCAGGAGCAGAGGAGCAGGCCCAAGCUCUCCUAAUUCAGCAAUAGACAAAUGCUUUCAAACUCUAUAUUGUCAGGACUGGAAAGAAAAAAAAGAAGAAUCCAACAACAGUAGCACCCAGAAAAAAAGAUGGAGCGGGAAGACAGAAGGUCGGAGUUGGUGUAGCCUCUGUAUCUUAUCUCGGGAAUGCUGUUGAUGACCUGAGUGUAGUGUGAGAUCUUAAGUGAAAUGAAUUGGUGGUUUCAGUUCCGGAUAUGGUAUGCAAAGAAAAAAAAAAAAGCUGCUCUUUGAAAUUCAGUGCUUCCUCGUCUGGGCUUCAGGAAGCCACACGCCUGAUGCUGAGCGUGGAAACUGACUCAUUUCUAGCUCUUUGCGAUGAGCUUCUCCAGCCCUCAGGCUGUGGGCAGGAGCUGGGGCCUAAUGGGAAACCAGAAUUGGGUCUGGCCAAACCUGGAGAAGGAGAAUCAGACACACAUCAGCAGAUGCACAUCUCUGUUAGGGUGGUUGACCUACCAGAAGGUUCUACAGGCAGUGGCCCUUCUAGAGAAACCAUCUCUGAAGUUUACUGACUUAUGGUUGGCAGGAGGUGGGUGGCCUGAAACGGUGGACGACAAAAGUACAAUGCAGUGCUUCCCAAUACCAUAUCAGAGUCCUGUUAAAGCCAGGCAGCUCGCUGGCCUUCCUGGACAACCUGGCUUCAAAUGUACAGGACAUCAUGUUUUCUCACCACUUAGAACUAAGAAGCAGUGGACUCUUCUCCUUGCCUGACCCAACAAGCUAUUGGUGUUCUAUGUGCUUCUCAGGUGUUAGGAAGCACACAAGGCUGCCAUACAUUGAUUGAAAAGGGAAAAGAAGUUAGAGACCAAAUUUUCCCUCAUUAAACCGAGGCAUGAAACCUUAGGAUAUUACAGAGCUCAGAGCUUCUAAAAGUGACCAUUUCAAGCUUGAUCCUUUAGAGCUCAAAUCAGUGGUUGCCAGGCUUUCUGCAGACCAUAUCAACGAGAGAAGGAACCUGUUUAAUUCCAAUUGACACAUUAAAAAAAGGAGCACCUUGUGUGAGGAUAAUGAGAAUGUUGGUUUAAAUGAGAAAUCAAUGAGCGACAAGGUGAUGUAGGGAGAAGAAGAAGAAAAAAAAAAGUAACAACUGGAGUCUUGGCUUAGGGCAGAGAAUCUGAGCUUACUAACUCCAUGACCUCUGGCAGCCACUUAAUCUCCCUAAGCCUCACUUUCCUCAUUUGCAAAGUGUGAACACUAAUUACAAAAUGAGAUCACAUAUGUGGAAGUAUUUAUAAAUGGUAAGGGCAAUUCAAAGGUUCGUAGUUAUCACUCCAUAUAAGUUUCAAAAUAUUAAUGAUUAAUUCAUGUUAGAAAGGAAGUUUCAGACUUCAUCACAGAGCAAGCAUUAAUCUUCCAAUUUUCUUAUCUUGAGAGCUUGUAUAAAACAGAUUAGUCUACAUUAUUGAUUUAUUUGUUUUUUUUUUUUUAAUAUAUAUAUAUAUAUAUAUUUUUUUUUUUUUUUUUGACAGGCAGAGUGGACAGUGAGAGAGAGAGACAGAGAGAGAAAGGUCUUCCUUUGCCGUUGGUUUACCCUCCAAUGGCCGCCGCUGCAGCCGGCGCACCGCGCUGAUCCUGGCAGGAGCCAGGAGCCAGGUGCUUUUUCCUGGUCUCCCAUGGGGUGCAGGGCCCAAGCACCUGGGCCAUCCUCCACUGCACUCCCUGGCCAUAGCAGAGAGCUGGCCUGGAAGAGGGGCAACCGGGACAGAAUCCGGCGCCCCAACCGGGACUAGAACCCGGUGUGCCGGCGCCGCAAGGUGGAGGAUUAGCCUAUUGAGCCACGGCGCCGGCUGAUUUAUUUGUAUGCUACUUAGUUCCAAAAAGAAUGUGAAGGAACUUAUAAUGUUAGUCACAGAUAUGUAUAACAAGAUCAUUAAACCACAGACAAAAGAUUAUGGCAAU